rnacentral:rRNA from 1 species
UCCUAUCAGGCUUUAGACGGUAGGGUAUUGGCCUACAGUGGCAAUGACGGGUAACGGGGAAUUAGGGUUCGAUUCCGGAGAGGGAGCCUGAGAAACGGCUACCACAUCUAAGGGAGGCAGCAGGCGCGCAAAUUACCCAAUCCUAAUACAGGGAGGUAGUGACAAGAAAUAACAAUACAGGACUUAAUUGUUUUGUAAUUGGAAUGAGUUAAGUAUAAACCCCUUUACAAGUAUCAAUUGGAGGGCAAGUCUGGUGCCAGCAGCCGCGGUAAUUCCAGCUCCAAUAGCGUAUAUUAAAGUUGUUGCAGUUAAAAAGCUCCUAGUUGGAUUUCUGUUAAUAUUUUAUAUUAUUAAUUUAUUAUUAUUAAUAUAAUAUUAACGUAAUUCAUAUUACUUUUUUAAGUAUAGGAAAUUUUACUUUGAGAAAAUUAGAGUGCUUAAAGCAGGCUUUUGCCUUGAAUACUCCAGCAUGGAAUAAUAUUAAAGAUUUUUAUCUUUCUUAUUGGUUCUAAGAUAGAAAUAAUGAUUAAUAGGGACAGUUGGGGGCAUUUGUAUUUAACAGUCAGAGGUGAAAUUUCUUAAAA